UACGUAGGGUGCAAGCGUUGUCCGGAAUUAUUGGGCGUAAAGAGCUCGUAGGCGGUUUGUCACGUCGGUUGUGAAAAUCCGAGGCUCAACCUCGGACCUGCAAUCGAUACGGGCAGGCUAGAGUUCGGUAGGGGAGACUGGAAUUCCUGGUGUAGCGGUGAAAUGCGCAGAUAUCGGGAGGAACACCUGAGAUGUAGAUGGCUUACUGGACCGUAACUGACGCUGAGGCACGAAAGCGUGGGUAGCAAACGGG
rnacentral:rRNA from 1 species